CACACACACACACACACACACACACACAGCCACUCUAAUUAUGAAAUAUAAUAAAAUUAGGAUACAUGAGAUGUUAAUAUACCUGGGGGCCAUUUUUCUCUGUAAACUAAGAGGCUGAAUCAAGUAAAAAUGUAUUAGAACAUGCAACACUGAACUAAAAGAAGAUCAGAAGCUUAAUGCUAAUGUUAAUGUUGGGAUGAAUUUUCAACAGUAGGUAUCAGAAAAAUGAAGGAGAUUUAUUAAUUCAUUUGAAGCAAUGGAAGAAGCACAGGAUUUGGAGUCAGACACAUUAGGUCUUGAACUUAGGUUAAAAACUCUGGGCAAGUUAUUCACUUUCUAAUACAUAACACAGGGAUAAUAGUAAAUAUCUUGCAGAUUUCUCGUCAGGAUUAACCUAAUGUAUACAAAAAACUAGUACAAUGCUUGACACACAGUUGUCACUCUGUAAAUAAAUCAGUCAACAAACAUUUACCCAGGAUUUGCUAUGAGCAAAGCACUCUGCUACAUUCUCAGGAUACCGAGAUGACUUAGACAAAAUGCUAACACGGUGUGUUAAGUACUAUGAUAGAGGUGUUGCAUACAGUAUUAAAAGAACAGAGAAAAGGUACACUGAAUUCUGCUUGGAGGAAUCAAUGAAGGUUUCCCAGGGACAUAAAUUGCCAUGUACUUCUUUAUAUGUUUAUCCUUUUGGCUUUGCAUCUCUAUCCUCUUGGCUAUUUUAUGCCCCCUCUUCUGGAUUAAGGUCCUUGAUUGUUAAUGAAUACCUUUGUCCUUUACUCAUGAUAUUCCCAAGACAUUGACAAUUAACAAAUACAGGACUAAUUCUUCAUACAACAGUAAGGUUGAACAAACGCUACCCAAAUUAAAGGGGAAAAAGACACUUGAUUAUAUAAGGAUGAUCUAAAUGGAUUAUGGCACAUGCUUUCAUUGUUCAGUUUUGAAAACCUGGGACUAUGGAUUUCAAAUGCCUUGUAAACUCUAAUUAUUUUUGUCUUACUGUCUGCAUUGCAGUUACUAGAUAUAUGAUCAUCAGAGUCUUAAAUGCUGCUGCACAUCCAUUGUUAAACUAGAUAAUUUACAGAUGAUCAUUCAAUAAGAAGGAUGAGAAGGUUUCAUAAAGAGGUCAAAAUAACUACCAUGAAAAACUCAAUACGCUGUUGCAACUUAUUAAAUAACAGUGCAGAUCUGGACUGAUCCAUGUCCCAGGAAAUAAUGGUAUUUCUUCCAGCUUGAGUUGAAGAUUGGCUGAAAGAAAGUAGACUGAGAAAUGAAGCAGGCCGGGCACAGUGGCUCAUGCCUGUAAUCCCAGAACUUUGGGAGGCUAAGGCAGGUGGAUCACAAGGUCAAGAAACCCUUACUGUUCUAACGCCAACUUACUUACAAAAUACAAGGUAAACCAUAGAUAAACUGAUUUAACUGUAACUCUGCACACACAUAUAUUCUAGUAGCUCAACUAGUUAACAAAUUUAAACCAAUCCUUGCCCUGGCUACUAAUGUCCACCAUAAACCUCCUACCACAUGAUUAACACCAGUUUUCUCUCAAAUCCUGUAAGUAAUACCGUUCCCUAACUUCCCCCUUUUGAGACAUUACUAAAAUUCUGUUACAGUGAUGCUUCUCCUUAUUAGUAACUUUAAUAAAUCCAGAUCUUCAUAA